rnacentral:lncRNA from 1 species
GGGAGGUAACUCUUGCUUCAAGCAAGUAAGGAACGCCUACUGUAAGACCUGUACCAAGGAAGAACCAUUACAGUGAAAUUGGUUGAUCUUUUCAAUAUCAAAUUUAGUGAAUCUUAAUAUUAAAUAAAAGCUCUGAUACAUUCAAAUGUUUUAUUAAUUGAAAACAAUUCUUAAAACAAAAUUUAAAACAAAUAAAUCAAAACUUGUCAGUCAGCUCAAAGCUUACAUAUGCACCAAACAUUUUAAUAGCAUCUAUAGCCUUGAGAGAUGUAUUCAUUUCAAUUUUUUCCCCGUUUGAGCUAGAUGAAACAUAACAUUUUAUCAGAGUUUUAUCCCCUAUGGUGAUAGGUUCAUUGAAUCUUGUAUUUAACGUGUCUCUUAUGCGGCUACGUAAAGGCUCUCUAGGAUCUGAGAAAAAGUUUCUGUGCCGGCGAGCGGAAAGGCAUAUGGAGCCAGAACGAUCCUUUUAUCUUUGAAAAGUGAAACACAAACGAUCUCGCUCGCCGGCACAUUUAUACUGGCCAUUUCUGCUGUCACAUGUAUCGAAGUCAAGAUCGCUUAAACGCUUUAAAUAAGGAGCGUACUUGUUAUUUAAAGCGCAAAAUAGAUUUGAGUAUAAGAAUACACAAAAACACGGCUGGAAAAACCCGGAAAAUACGGAUUUUCUACUGACGAACAAAAAAAAGUUUGUG